GGAAUUUUCAGUCUCUGACAAAAUUGCCUUUGCUCUGGCCCUCACCGUUUUUGAUAGAUUGGAUGCAAAGACAACUGGACGCAACUUUUUAUUGGCCGAGAUUGAGCAACUCUGUGCCAAUACCGGCCA